AAAAAGUUCUCGAAGUUAGAGUUUUGCUUGCGUCACCCUUAUACCAUCGCCCUAGUCGAACGAUGAUGAGCGACGAAUACUUUGAGAGUCUUCUCGAGGGGGGCGCCGCCGACCUCCCGGCCGUCGAGACGUUGGACUGCCCGACGCAAGCCGUCCCGGAAGCCGUUUCUUUAGAACCCCCAAGACAAGUAGCAGCUGUAAGAAGCAAAGAGAGACAGUGCACCACUUGCCAUUUUCCUAUGAAAGGUCACAAGAAUAUCUCCACCUGUCCAAGAAAUCAAAAAUAGAUUUAGAGAUAGAUAGAGGCUUUGCUCAUUAUAAGGCAGAAAAUAAUAAGAGUGCUGCAGUGCUUAUACAAGUAAAUAUCGUAUGUACACUUGAUUCAUGGAUUAAUGACAACCACUCUACAUUCUGUGAAAUGUGUUGUAGACUGUCAGCUAUAAAAAUUCAAUUUAUUAUAAUUAAUCUGGGGUUAAAUUUUUUAAACAUAUGUAAGGAAAUAGAAAUAGAAUUCAUUGUUUAGUUAUUUGCACUUAAAAAUAAAUAAAUAACUGGCAGCUGAAAUUGAUGUAAAGAAAAAGCAUUGUCUUUGCCUACCACCUUAUAACGAUUUGUACUUGGAUCGAUAACAAUGUGGGAGAGUUUCUUUUACUGAAAGCACCAAUAAUAAAUAAAACAUACACAUGGAAAUAAUUCCAAUAUCCAAAUCAAUGAACAACGAAAAUAAAUGGGAAUUAAUCAUC